GGUCAAGCUACUAAGAGCAUGCGUGGGGAUGCCUAGGCGCAAGAAGGCGAUGAAGGACGUGGCCAGCUGCGAAAAGCUUCGGGGAGACGCACACAGUCUGUGAUCCGGAGAUAUCCGAAUGGGGGAACCCACCUGGUGCGAACACCAGGUAUCGUGCGAUGAAUUCAUAGUCGUACGAAGCAAACCCGGGGAAGUGAACCAUCUCAGUACCCGGAGGAAAAGAAAACAACCGUGAUUCCGCAAGUAGUGGCGAGCGAACGCGGAACAGCCUAAACCGUGCGAUUCGAAAGGAGAGCGCGGGGUUGCAGGACCACAAACAUCACGAAUCGUGCUUUCAAAGAGGCGGGAUUCGUGAGGUAAAGAGCGAUAUCAGGGUGUUAAUAGAACGGUCUGGAAAGUCCGGCCAUAGAGGGUGACAGCCCCGUAUAUGAAAAUGCACUGAUAGGUUCGAGUGGCUCCUAAGUACCGCGGGACACGUGGAACCCUGCGGGAAUCUACCGGGACCAUCCGGUAAGGCUAAAUACUGACUUGCGACCGAUAGUGAACGAGUACCGUGAGGGAAAGGUGAAAAGAACCCCUGCGAGGGGAGUGAAAUAGUACCUGAAACCGCAUGCUUACAAGCAGUGGGAGGGCUAUACCGAAAGGGAUGCCUGACCUCGUGCCUAUUGAAUAAUGAGCUGGCUAGUUACUCUCAGUGGCAAGGUUAAGCGAAAGCGAGCCGGAGCGAAAGCGAGUCUGAACAGGGCGUGGAGUCGCUGGGAGUAGACGCGAAGCGGGAUGAUCUACCCUUGGCCAGGAUGAAGUCCGUGUAACAGCGGAUGGAGGUCCGAACCAGUGUUGGUUGAAAACAGCUUGGAUGAGCUGAGGGUAGGGGUGAAAGGCUAAUCAAAUUCCGUGAUAGCUCGUUCUCUCCGAAAUAGCUUUAGGGCUAGCCUCGCGUGGUCCGUCCCGGUGGUAGAGAUCUGAAUGAACUAGGGGCCUUCCCAGGUUACCGAAUUCAACCAAACUUCGAAUGCCGGGAACGAGUAACGCGGGAGUCAGACAGCGGGGGCUAAGCUUCGUUGUCAAAAGGGGAAGAGCCCAGACCAUCAACUAAGGUCCCUAAAUUCAUGCUAAGUGGGAAAGGAAGUCGGGAGCCUCAGACAGCCAGGAGGUUGGCUUAGAAGCAGCCAUCCUUUAAAGAAAGCGUAAUAGCUCACUGGUCGAGGACCCCGGUGCCGACAAUCCAACGGGGCUCAAGCAUGGUACCGAAGUUAUGGAUGCGCAGCGAUGCGCGUGGUAGGAGAGCGUUCCGUCCGCGGCGAAGGUGUACCGCAAGGAGCACUGGAGUGGACAGAAGAGACUCUGCCAGCAUAAGUAGCGAGAAACCAAGUGAGAACCUUGGUCGCCGAAAGUCUAAGGAUUCCUGAGAAAGGUUAAUCCGCUCAGGGUUAGUCGGAGCCUAAGGUGAGGCCGAAAGGCGUAGCCGAUGGACAUACGGUUAACAUUCCGUAACUGCCUUGUUUUUCGAUGCGGGGACGCAGCGUCGAGCUUCUGGAGCGCAAUGGUUACAAUCCAGGGGGGAGAUGAGGGCCGGAGAGGGAAAUCCGCCGGUCUGUCUGCCAGGAAAAGCCGCUAAGGUUAGGAGCAAGGCAUCCGUACCACAAACCGACACAGGUGGACGAGUAGAACAUACUCAGGCGCUCGGGUGAUGGAUUGUUCAGGAACUAGGCAAAUUAACUCCGUAACUUCGGGAGAAGGAGUGCCCCUGUAAAGGGGGCCGCAGUGAAUAGCGUCAGGCGACUGUUUAACAAAAACACAGGUCUCUGCAAAGUCAAAAACGACGUAUAGGGGCUGACGCCUGCCCGGUGCCGGAAGGUUAAAGGGAGAGGUCAGCGCAAGCGAAGCUUUGAACUGAAGCCCCGGUGAACGGCGGCCGUAACUAUAACGGUCCUAAGGUAGCGAAAUUCCUUGUCGGGUAAGUUCCGACCUGCACGAAUGGCGUAACGAUCUGACGACUGUCUUAACAAUCUGCCCGGCGAACUUGUGGUUCCGGUGAAGACGCCGGAUGCCCGCAUCAAGACGGAAAGACCCCGUGCACCUUUACUAUACCCUAUCAAUGAACUAUGGGGUGCUCUGCGCAGGAUAGGUGGGAGGCUUGGAACCCGGGUUUUUGGACUCGGGGGAGCCAGCGGUGAGAUACCACCCUGAGCAUUCUGUGGUUCUAACUUACUUCCCUGGACGGGAAGAAGGACAUUGGUAGGCGGGUAGUUUGACUGGGGCGGUCGCCUCCUAAAAUGUAACGGAGGCGCUCGAAGCUUGGUUCAGGAGGCUUGGAAAUCCUCCAUCGAGUGCAAAGGCAUAAACCAGGUUGACUGCGAGACCAACAAGUCAAGCAGGUGCGAAAGCAGGACUUAGUGAUCCGGUGGUUCUGAAUGGAAGGGCCAUCGCUCAACGGAUAAAAGGUACGCCGGGGAUAACAGGCUGAUCGGAGUCAAGAGUUCACAUCGACGCUCCGGUUUGGCACCUCGAUGUCGGUUCAUCGCAUCCUGGGGGUGUAGAAGCUCCCAAGGGUUAGGCUGUUCGCCUAUUAAAGCGGUACGUGAACUGGGUUCAGAACGUCGCGAGACAGUUCGGUCCCUAUCUGAUGUGGGCGGAGGAGAUUUGAGGGGGGUUGGCCUUAGUACGAGAGGACCGGGCUGAACAGACCUCUUGUGAUUCUGUUGUCGCGCCAGCGGCACUGCAGAGUAGCGAAGUCUGGUCAGGAUAAGCGCUGAACGCAUAUAAGCGCGAAACCUUCCCCGAGAUGAGAUCUCCCAAGCGAAAGCUAAGAAGGGCCGUGGAAGACGACCACGUUGAUAGGCUGGAUGUGGAAACGCAGUAAUGCGGUAAGCUGACCAGUACUAAUAGCCCGUUCGGCUUGACCAU
rnacentral:rRNA from 1 species